UGCAGUCGAGCGGUAACAGAUCCNGCUUGCUGGAUGCUGACGAGCGGCGGACGGGUGAGUAAUGCAUAGGAAUCUGCCCGAUAGUGGGGGAUAACCUGGGGAAACCCAGGCUAAUACCGCAUACGUCCUACGGGAGAAAGGGGGCUCCGGCUCCCGCUAUGGGAUGAGCCUAUGUCGGAUUAGCUAGUUGGUGAGGUAACGGCUCACCAAGGCCACGAUCCGUAGCUGGUCUGAGAGGAUGAUCAGCCACAUCGGGACUGAGACACGGCCCGAACUCCUACGGGAGGCAGCAGUGGGGAAUAUUGGACAAUGGGCGAAAGCCUGAUCCAGCCAUGCCGUGUGUGUGAAGAAGGCCCUCGGGUUGUAAAGCACUUUCAGUGAGGAAGAACGCCUGGUGGUUAAUACCCAUCAGGAAAGACAUCACUCACAGAAGAAGCACCGGCUAACUCCGUGCCAGCAGCCGCGGUAAUACGGAGGGUGCGAGCGUUAAUCGGAAUUACUGGGCGUAAAGCGCGCGUAGGUGGCUUGAUAAGCCGGUUGUGAAAGCCCCGGGCUCAACCUGGGAACGGCAUCCGGAACUGUCAAGCUAGAGUGCAGGAGANGAAGGUAGAAUUCCCGGUGUAGCGGUGAAAUGCGUAGAGAUCGGGAGGAAUACCAGUGGCGAANGCGGCCUUCUGGACUGACACUGACACUGANGUGCGAAAGCGUGGGUAGCAAACANGAUUAGAUACCCUGGUANUCCACGUCGUAAACGAUGUCGACCAGCCGUUGGGUGCCUANCGCACUUUGUGGCGAANUUAACGCGAUAAGUCGANCGCCUGGGG
rnacentral:rRNA from 1 species